rnacentral:rRNA from 1 species
AAACAUUUUUCUAAGAAAUUAUUUAGAAUAAAACCUGCUCAAUGAAUUUUUAAUAGCCGCAGUAAUUUAACUGUGCUAAGGUAGCAUAAUCAUUAACCUCUUAAUUAGGGGAUAGAAUGAAAGGUUUAACAUUUUCUUGACUUUUUUAAAAAUAAUAUAAAAAAUUAUAUUAAAUAUAAAAAUAUAUUUAUAUAAAAAUUAGACGACAAGACCCUUUCAAACUUUACUUAAGUUUAGCUGGGGCAGCUAAAUAAAUAUAAUCUUAUUCAAUUUACAAAAAUAGACCCAAUAUUUAAAAUGAUUAAAUGAUUAAGUUACUGAAGGGAUAACAGCAUAAUAAAUUUUUAUAGCUCUUAUUUAAAAACUAGUUUAUGACCUCGAUGUUGAAUUAUUAUUUAUUCCCACACGCAAGCGUUUGGGAAAUAGGUCUGUUCGACCUUUAAUUUUUUACAUGAUCUGAGU